AUGCAGUCGAGCGGUAAGGCCCUUUCGGGGGUACACGAGCGGCGAACGGGUGAGUAACACGUGGGUGACCUGCCCUUAGCUCUGGGAUAAGCCUGGGAAACUGGGUCUAAUACCGGAUAUGACUCCAUGACGCAUGUUGUGGGGUGGAAAGCCUUGUGCGGCUAGGGAUGGGCCCGCGGCCUAUCAGCUUGUUGGUGGGGUGAUGGCCUACCAAGGCGACGACGGGUAGCCGGCCUGAGAGGGCGACCGGCCACACUGGGACUGAGACACGGCCCAGACUCCUACGGGAGGCAGCAGUGGGGAAUCUUGCGCAAUGGGCGAAAGCCUGACGCAGCGACGCCGCGUGAGGGAUGACGGCCUUCGGGUUGUAAACCUCUUUCAGCCCUGACGAAGCGAAAGUGACGGUAGGGGCAGAAGAAGCACCGGCCAACUACGUGCCAGCAGCCGCGGUAAUACGUAGGGUGCAAGCGUUGUCCGGAAUUAUUGGGCGUAAAGAGCUCGUAGGUGGCCUGUCGCGUCGGCUGUGAAAACUCGGGGCUCAACUCCGAGCUUGCAGUCGAUACGGGCAGGCUAGAGUGCGGCAGGGGAGACUGGAAUUCCUGGUGUAGCGGUGAAAUGCGCAGAUAUCAGGAGGAACACCGGUGGCGAAGGCGGGUCUCUGGGCCGAUACUGACACUGAGGAGCGAAAGCGUGGGGAGCGAACAGGAUUAGAUACCCUGGUAGUCCACGCCGUAAACGUUGGGCGCUAGGUGUGGGAUCCCUUCCACGGGUUCCGUGCCGCAGCUAACGCAUUAAGCGCCCCGCCUGGGGAGUACNGGCCGCAAGGCUAAAACUCAAAGGAAUUGACG
rnacentral:rRNA from 1 species